rnacentral:rRNA from 1 species
UACGUAGGGUGCAAGCGUUGUCCGGAUUUACUGGGCGUAAAGCGCACGUAGGCGGAUCGUUAAGUCGGGGGUGAAAUCCUGGAGCUCAACUCCAGAACUGCCUUCGAUACUGGCGAUCUUGAGUCCGGAAGAGGUGAGUGGAACUCCUAGUGUAGAGGUGGAAUUCGUAGAUAUUAGGAAGAACACCAGUGGCGAAGGCGGCUCACUGGUCCGGUACUGACGCUGAGGUGCGAAAGCGUGGGGAGCAAACAGG